CCACGUUCAGAUUGCAGGCUGCAACUCGCCUGUAUGAAGUCGGAAUCGCUAGUAAUCGCGGAUCAGCAUGCCGCGGUGAAUACGUUCCCGGGCCUUGUACACACCGCCCGUCACACCAUGAGAGUCGGGAACACCCGAAGUCCGUAGUCUAACCGCAAGGGGACGCGGCCGAAGGUGGGUUCGAUAAUUGGGGUGAAGUCGUAACAAGGUACC
rnacentral:rRNA from 1 species